UGAGGGAAUAUUGGGUCAAUGGGCGAGAGCCUGAACCAGCCAAGUAGCGUGCAGGACGACGGCCCUAUGGGUUGUAAACUGCUUUUAUAAGGGAAUAAAGUGAGUCUCGUGAGACUUUUUGCAUGUACCUUAUGAAUAAGGACCGGCUAAUUCCGUGCCAGCAGCCGCGGUAAUACGGAGGAUGCGAGCGUUAUCCGGAUUUAUUGGGUUUAAAGGGUGCGCAGGCGGCGCGCCAAGUCAGCGGUCAAAGUUCCGGGCUCAACCCGGUGUCGCCGUUGAAACUGGCGUGCUCGAGUGCGUGCGAGGAAGGCGGAAUGCGUUGUGUAGCGGUGAAAUGCAUAGAUAUCACGAAGAACUCCGAUUGCGAAGGCAGCUCACUGGAGCGCAACUGACGCUGAAGCUCGAAAGUGCGGGUAUCGAACAGGAUUAGAUACCCUGGUAGU
rnacentral:rRNA from 1 species